AGAUUUUUGAAUCCGUGCACAGAUUUCGUCAGACACCAACCCAUUGGGGUUGAUCAGACUUUCAAAAUAAGUGAAUUU
rnacentral:pre_miRNA from 1 species